rnacentral:rRNA from 1 species
GGACAACUGCCUGAGGACUGGAAUAAUCCCGGGAAACUGGGGGUAAUUCCAGAUAUGUCAGAACUCCUGGAAUGGGUUCUGGCAGAAAGGCUCCGGCGCCUCAGGAUGGGUCUGCGGCCUAUCAGGGUAGUAGUGGGUGUAACGUACCUACUAGCCUACGACGGGUACGGGUUGUGAGAGCAAGAGCCCGGAGAUGGAUUCUGAGACAUGAAUCCAGGCCCUACGGGGUGCAGCAGGCGCGAAAACUUUACAAUGCGGGCAACCGCGAUAAGGGGACCUCGAGUGCUGGGUUACAAACCUGGCUGUUGGGCUGCCUAAAAAGCAGUCUAUAGCAAGGGCCGGGCAAGACCGGUGCCAGCCGCCGCGGUAACACCGGCGGCUCGAGUGGUAACCGCUGUUAUUGGGUCUAAAGGGUCUGUAGCCUGCCGGCUAAGUCUCUUGGGAAAUCUGGCAUCUCAAGUGUCAGGCUGCCAGGGGAUACUGGUCAGCUUGGGACCGGGAGAGGUGAGAGGUACCUCGGGGGUAGGAGUGAAAUCUUGUAAUCCUCGAGGGACCACCAGUGGCGAAGGCGUCUCACCAGAACGGAUCCGACGGCAAGGGACGAAAGCUAGGGGCACGAACCGGAUUAGAUACCCGGGUAGUCCUAGCCGUAAACGAUACUCGCUAGGUGUCGGCCACGGUGCGACCGUGGUCGGUGCCGUAGGGAAGCCGUGAAGCGAGCCACCUGGGAAGUACGGCCGCAAGGCUGAAACUUAAAGGAAUUGGCGGGGGAGUACGGCUCAGUAACACG